UACGUAGGGGGCUAGCGUUGUCCGGAAUCAUUGGGCGUAAAGCGCGUGUAGGCGGUCCGGUAAGUCCGCUGUGAAAGUCGAGGGCUCAACCCUCGAAUGCCGGUGGAUACUGUCGGGCUUGAGUACGGGAGAGGCGAGUGGAAUUCCUGGUGUAGCGGUGAAAUGCGCAGAUAUCAGGAGGAACACCGGUGGCGAAGGCGGGUCUCUGGGCCGAUACUGACGCUGAGGAGCGAAAGCGUGGGGAGCGAACAGG
rnacentral:rRNA from 1 species